GGACUCCCUGGGCAACCUGGUCCUGUUGGACCUCAAGGGCCCCAAGGCAUCAGGGGUUUGGAAGGAACAGAAGGACUCCCAGGGGAAGAUGGGGAUGAUGG